GUAACAGAAGCCGCAAGUGUAAUUGCAGAAAUCUUAAUAUAAUGCAGAUAAUAACGGAGAUGUGAUGUGAUUGAGUAAUAGAUAUUCUUUCGACUGGACGUUCUUUCACCUUAACACCACCACCAGGGCAAAAUAACAUUAAUAAGAAGAUUUACAGCAGAAUCCUAUCCAUGUUUACUCUGAGAAAAAGUCACUGUGUUCAGUGGAGUUUCCUCCAGGAAAACCGGCAUAGAAUUGCAGACUCAGGGUGGUUUCAGACAGAGCAAAAUCAGUGGAUGACUUCAAGUGGAGAAUUGUACCCUACAAAGUGAAACAUAGAACUAUCCUAUACAAUCGGUGCACCUGGU
rnacentral:lncRNA from 11 species